UACGGAGGAUGCAAGCGUUAUCCGGAAUGAUUGGGCGUAAAGCGUCCGCAGGUGGCUGUGUAAGUCUGCUGUUAAAGAGUCUAGCUCAACUAGAUACAAGCAGUGGAAACUACACGGCUAGAGUACGUUCGGGGCAGAGGGAAUUCCAGGUGUAGCGGUGAAAUGCGUAGAUAUCUGGAGGAACAUCGGUGGCGAAGGCGGCAUCCUGGACCGGUAUUGACGCUGAGGCGCGAAAGCCAGGGGAGCAAACGGG
rnacentral:rRNA from 1 species